rnacentral:rRNA from 1 species
GGUAGUUCACGCCGUAAACGUUGGGCGCUAGAUGUAGGGACCUUUCCACGGUUUCUGUGUCGUAGCUAACGCAUUAAGCGCCCCGCCUGGGGAGUACGGCCGCAAGGCUAAAACUCAAAGGAAUUGACGGGGGCCCGCACAAGCGGCGGAGCAUGCGGAUUAAUUCGAUGCAACGCGAAGAACCUUACCAAGGCUUGACAUACACCGGAAACGGCCAGAGAUGGUCUCCCCCUUGUGGUCGGUGUACAGGUGGUGCAUGGUUGUCGUCAGCUCGUGUCGUGAGAUGUUGGGUUAAGUCCCGCAACGAGCGCAACCCUCGUUCUAUGUUGCCAGCGUCGUUAUGGUCUGGGGACUCAUAGGAUACUGCCGGGGUCAACUCGGAGGAAGGUGGGGAUGACGUCAAAUCAUCAUGCCCCUUAUGUCUUGGGCUUCACGCAUGCUACAAUGGCCGGUACAAAGGGCUGCGAUACCGUAAGGUGGAACGAAUCCCAAAAANCCGGUCUCAGUUCGGAUUGAGGUCUGCAACUCGACCUCAUGAAGUCGGAGUCGCUAGUAAUCGCAGAUCAGCAACGCUGCGGUGAAUACUUUCCCGGGCCUUGUACACACCGCCCGUCAAGUCAUGAAAGUCGGUAACACCCGAAGCCUGUGGCCUAACCCUUGUGGAAGGAGCCGUCGAAGGUGGGAUCGGUGAUUAGGAUG